AGAGUUUGAUCAUGGCUCAGGACGAACGCUGGCGGCGUGCUUAACACAUGCAAGUCGAACGGAAAGGCCCAGCUUGCUGGGUACUCGAGUGGCGAACGGGUGAGUAACACGUGGGUGAUCUGCCCCUGACUUUGGGAUAAGCCUGGGAAACUGGGUCUAAUACCGGAUAUUCAUUUUUCCUCGCAUGGGGAUUUGUGGAAAGCUUUUGCGGUUGGGGAUGGGCCCGCGGCCUAUCAGCUUGUUGGUGGGGUAAUGGCCUACCAAGGCGACGACGGGUAGCCGACCUGAGAGGGUGAUCGGCCACACUGGGACUGAGACACGGCCCAGACUCCUACGGGAGGCAGCAGUGGGGAAUAUUGCACAAUGGGCGCAAGCCUGAUGCAGCGACGCCGCGUGAGGGAUGACGGCCUUCGGGCUGUAAACCUCUUUCAGCUCCGACGAAGCGCAAGUGACGGUAGGAGCAGAAGAAGCACCGGCCAACUACGUGCCAGCCGCCGA
rnacentral:rRNA from 1 species